rnacentral:rRNA from 1 species
GGCACUGAGACAUCUCAGAGCCGCCAAAGAUUUAUCGGCAAGGGAUGGGCCUGCGUCUGAUUAGUUAGUUGGUGGGGUAACGGCCUACCAAGGCGACGAUCAGUAGCCGACCUGAGAGGGUGAUCGGCCACAUUGGAACUGAGACACGGUCCAAACUCCUACGGGAGGCAGCAGUGGAGAAUCUUGCACAAUGGGCGAAAGCCUGAUGCAGCAACGCCGCGUGAAUAAAGGAGGCCCUUGGGUCGUAAAUUCUGU